CCUACGGGUGGCAGCAGUCGAGAAUCAUUCACAAUGGGGGAAACCCUGAUGGUGCGACGCCGCGUGGGGGAAUGAAGGUCUUCGGAUUGUAAACCCCUGUCAUGUGGGAGCAAAUUAAAAAGAUAGUACCACAAGAGGAAGAGCCGGCUAACUCUGUGCCAGCAGCGGCGGUAAUACAGAGGUCUCAAGCGUUGUUCGGAAUGACUGGGCGUAAAGCGUGCGUAGGCUGUUUCGUAAGUCGUGGGUGAAAGGCGCGGGCUCAACCCGCGGACGGCAGAUGAUACUGCGAGACUAGAGUAAUGGAGGGGGAACUGGAAGUCGUGGUGUAGCGGGGAAAUGCGUAGAUAUCGAGAGGAACACUGGUGGCGAAGGCGGGUUCCUGGACAUUAACUGACGCUGAGGCACGAAGGCCAGGGGAGCGAAAGGGAUUAGAUACCCUUGUAGUC
rnacentral:rRNA from 1 species